ACUGAAUCCAUAGGUUAAUGAGGCGAACCGGGGGAACUGAAACAUCUAAGUACCCCGAGGAAAAGAAAUCAACCGAGAUUCCCCCAGUAGCGGCGAGCGAACGGGGAGCAGCCCAGAGCCUGAAUCAGUGUGUGUGUUAGUGGAAGCGUCUGGAAAGGCGCGCGAUACAGGGUGACAGCCCCGUACACAAAAAUGCACAUACUGUGAGCUCGAUGAGUAGGGCGGGACACGUGGUAUCCUGUCUGAAUAUGGGGGGACCAUCCUCCAAGGCUAAAUACUCCUGACUGACCGAUAGUGAACCAGUACCGUGAGGGAAAGGCGAAAAGAACCCCGGCGAGGGGAGUGAAAAAGAACCUGAAACCGUGUACGUACAAGCAGUGGGAGCACGCUUAGGCGUGUGACUGCGUACCUUUUGUAUAAUGGGUCAGCGACUUAUAUUCUGUAGCAAGGUUAACCGAAUAGGGGAGCCGAAGGGAAACCGAGUCUUAACUGGGCGUUAAGUUGCAGGGUAUAGACCCGAAACCCGGUGAUCUAGCCAUGGGCAGGUUGAAGGUUGGGUAACACUAACUGGAGGACCGAACCGACUAAUGUUGAAAAAUUAGCGGAUGACUUGUGGCUGGGGGUGAAAGGCCAAUCAAACCGGGAGAUAGCUGGUUCUCCCCGAAAGCUAUUUAGGUAGCGCCUCGUGAAUUCAUCUCCGGGGGUAGAGCACUGUUUCGGCAAGGGGGUCAUCCCGACUUACCAACCCGAUGCAAACUGCGAAUACCGGAGAAUGUUAUCACGGGAGACACACGGCGGGUGCUAACGUCCGUCGUGAAGAGGGAAACAACCCAGACCGCCAGCUAAGGUCCCAAAGUCAUGGUUAAGUGGGAAACGAUGUGGGAAGGCCCAGACAGCCAGGAUGUUGGCUUAGAAGCAGCCAUCAUUUAAAGAAAGCGUAAUAGCUCACUGGUCGAGUCGGCCUGCGCGGAAGAUGUAACGGGGCUAAACCAUGCACCGAAGCUGCGGCAGCGACGCUGAUGCGUUGUUGGGUA
rnacentral:rRNA from 1 species